rnacentral:rRNA from 1 species
UACGUAGGGGGCAAGCGUUGUCCGGAAUCAUUGGGCGUAAAGAGCGUGUAGGCGGCCCGGUAAGUCCGCUGUGAAAGUCCAGGGCUCAACCCUGGGAUGCCGGUGGAUACUGUCGGGCUCGAGUCCGGAAGAGGAGUGUGGAAUUCCUGGUGUAGCGGUGAAAUGCGCAGAUAUCAGGAGGAACACCAAUGGCGAAGGCAGCACUCUGGGACGUGACUGACGCUGAGACGCGAAAGCCAGGGGAGCGAACGGG